ACACACACACUCACUGACUGUCUGUCAUUAACUAACCUGUGAGGAAGAGUUGGACACACACACACUCACUGACUGUCUGUCAUUAACUAACCUGUGAGGAAGAGUUGGACACACACACACUCACUGACUGGUUUUAAUGUGUCACUCUUUAUAACACACUGUAAAACUAUUUACAUGACUAAUGUAAAAUAAACACUGUGACUGGAAAUAAUCAGAACAUUACUGCUUAUUUAAUGAACACUUCCUUUUUUAUUUAAUAGAUUAAAUUAAUAAUUAAUAGGUUAAAUUCAUUCAUCAUUAAUACAUUUCUAAAGUUAUGUAAAAUUAGUGACAUUAACAAUAGAAAUGUUUUAUAAUUAGUCAGUGUAAUCAGUGAGGCCCCGCCCCAGAAACAGUCUGUUUUCAACCUAAUUCUUGUCUCAUCUGUGGUCUGAUAAACAGUAAAUGAAGUCAUUGAAGUGUCCAUAUCACUAUUGUCCUGGGUUCAUCUACAGUAGGUUAAACAAUGAUAGAUACAGCUACUGAGGCACACACACACAUCUCUCCUCACACUGCAGAUCUGCCACAGCAGAAGCUAAAGUCAGGUGGAGAAAGAGCCAACUGAGUCCUGCCUGAGUUGGAACUGAUGAACUGUCUGUAUUUGUGACUUUAAAAAUAGGAUGAUGGUGGAAACUAUUUUAUUUAAUUUACUAUUCCACUGUUUAAUGUGUAACCUGCACAUUAAGGUGUGUGUGUGUGUGUGUGUGUGUGUGUGUGUGUGUGUGUGUGUGUGUGUGUGGAGCCUUUAUUGUUUGACACUCUAACAUUACAUUAAACAGCUGGUGGUGGUCUGGGAUCAAACCCCCGGCCUGAAUUAUUGUCACAGUCCGCCACUGGUUCUGGUUCUGUAGUUCUGGUUCUGGUACCAGUGAGACCAGGUUGUGUAGUUCUGGUUCUGGUACCAGUGAGACCAGGUUGUGUAGUUCUGGUUCUGGUUCUGGUACCAGUGAGACCAGGUUGUGUAGUUCUGGUUCUGGUUCUGGUACCAGUGAGACCAGGUUGUGCAGUUCUGGUUCUGGUUCUGGUACCAGUGAGACCAGGUUGUGUAGUUCUGGUUCUGGUUCUGGUACCAGUGGGACCAGGUUGUGCAGCUGUUAUAAAAAAUAAAAGUCUCUUGUUGCUAGGAGCGGCAGCCUCCUGCAUCCUGCGCUCUGAUUGGCCCGAGGUGAAGAGCUGCGGGCCAAUCAGAGCGCAGUGCGUCCGCCAUGAGAAUCCGUAAUCCCUGUUCUUCUUCUCUUACUACGAGUUCAUAUCUGACGUUCAAAUAAAGCUGUUUGUGCGCAUGCUCCCUCUCAUAUUGAUCCCUCUGCUGAUCAAUAAUGUGAUCCCCUCGUACAGAGUGUGUGUGUGUGUGUGUGUGUGUGUGUGUGUGUCACUGCAGAGGCUGCUGGCUGUUUUAUGGCAGCGACGUCAAGUUAGAUUCAAACCGGAACACACGGAACUUCCGGUUUAAGUUAGCUCGUUUUUUUUCUUUACAAAAUAAAAGCUUACAAACCAAUGAUCAAUAAAUCCAGGUGAACUCUGCUUUAAUCCAAUAAUCAGACUUACAUUUACAGCAGAGUGCUGUUA